UACGAAUUGUGCGAACGUUAUUCGGAAUCACUGGGCUUAAAGGGUGCGUAGGCGGAUUUAAAGGUCUGAUGUGAAAUCCCACGGCUCAACCGUGGAAUGGCGUUGGAAACCAUGAAUCUUGAGGAGAUCAGAGGUAAGCGGAACUGAUGGUGGAGCGGUGAAAUGCGUUGAUAUCAUCAGGAACACCGGUGGCGAAAGCGGCUUGCUGGGAUCUUUCUGACGCUGAGGCACGAAAGCCAGGGGAGUGAACGGG
rnacentral:rRNA from 1 species